GCCGUGUGGGGGAGUGGGGCCUAGCGAGGCCUAGUAGGACACUGGGAGGCGGAAGGUGCCAGUGGUUGUCCAGCACGACUGUGCUGUCCCAAGGAGAGUAAACUACAUCAAACAUAAAUCAAGUUCUAUCUCAGAGACUGCAUGAAAAUCAAAUCAUGCAUGGAUCUUGUUUUAUUUGCUGAGAACAGGCAUCUCCAGACUAUGUUUAGAGCUUCUAGGGGAUGCAAUUGAAGAGGUAUAAAUUAAGGUUCUUUGGAGUGGACAUCAGGGAAAUGCCUCUGGGCUCUGCUGAGCCUUAUCCUUGAACAUGCUCCUGUGCCAACCUUGUCCUACAAAAUCCAGGUGAAGGGUUAUGCAAUAGCUCAGCUCUUGGACUCAUCCAGAAGAAAAGUGAAAUCAGAGAAGUCCCUCAAGUGGAGUGCAUUAAAGGUGGCAGAACAAAGAUCUUGAAGAGACCUCAUCAAACACAGACAAUAUUCAGCAUUAAUUCAGUGUCCAUGCAGAUGGACAGGAAAUAAGGCCUGAGCGACAACUUUAUUCGCCAAAGCUCCCAUUUGUGAUGUGGAGCAUUAUCUUUUCCAGUAUUCUUACAUCAGUGGUGUCUAUGAAACAUCUGGCAGUUCCAUUGCUGUGGACGCUAUUUUAGCCAAAGCUUUCCUUGAACUCUACAUGGAAAUCAAUUUACCUCCUCAUUCUUCAUAGAGGUGGCAGCUUCUACAUAGAAAUACUCCUUUAAACAGAAGCCAAUUAAAGGGCUGGCAAACUGUUUUCAGAAAAGAAAGCUGCCUGUUCCAAAGCACUGAAUACCAGAGCCAACUACAGAAGAAAAACCAACAACCAAUUUUGUUUUUCCAAUUUAAAAGGAAAACCAUCCUGGUGCAAGAUGCUUCUAAGUGACAUGGGGCUAAAGGAAGACACCAUAGUUAAAUGCAGAAUAAUAAUUUUUCUUGGCUUUCUGUCGUAGCACACAAUUAUCUGUGAGUAAUGCUACAAAGCAACCAGUGAGCAGGGCACUUAAUAAAGCCCAAACAACUGUCACAUGUAGGUUAUAAGGUUAUUUCUCAAACAUAAAUAAACUGGAAAUCCAUCCGAUGGAUGGAAUUUGAGAAAGUGUUAUGAAGUUUACCACAAAAUAAAAAAUGAGUUUCACAUGUUA